UACGAAGGGGGCUAGCGUUGCUCGGAAUGACUGGGCGUAAAGGGCGCGUAGGCGGUUUGGUUAGUUAGGCGUGAAAUUCCUGGGCUCAACCUGGGGGCUGCGCUUAAUACAGCCAGACUAGAGUGUGAAAGAGGGUCGUGGAAUUCCCAGUGUAGAGGUGAAAUUCGUAGAUAUUGGGAAGAACACCGGUGGCGAAGGCGGCUCACUGGACCGGAACUGACGCUGAGGCGCGAAAGCGUGGGGAGCAAACGGG
rnacentral:rRNA from 1 species